AGAGGGUCCAGAGAAAGGUGGGGAUUCCCUAACCCCUUCUUUCUUGGCACAGACAGGCAGAGAACACCUCUUUUCUCACCCCUGGGCAGCCCCAGGAAGUCAAUCCUUCCACUAUUCCUGCUCCGUGCCUCUCUUCCCUCUGCCCAGAUUCCUGGGAGACUCAAAACCCUGUUCAACUCUCUCUGGGCUAGCUGCUCCCCUCCCCAAGAGGAUUUCUCUCCAGAGCUGGUAUCAUCGCUUAAUGAUGUUCCACCAACAAGGGGAAGGUUUCUUUUCUGGGAGCUGCUAUCACUGAAUACAUAAAGAAAUUGAGCCUAUAUGAUUUCAAUCUUCACCUUCUGAUGCUGAUGAAACAGGAUUCUAUGCAGAGAAAAUCCUCUCCAGUCAAGUAAUUGCAUCCAUUUCAUCUUCCCAGCCCUCCUCUAGAUGGGAGGUGGAGGACAGUGGGGACCCCAGCCAGAGCCUGGGGACUUGGCUGCCUUGGAACCAGAACCUGGCCCCUCAGAGGAGUUGCAGAAUUUCGAUAGAGGAGUGGCAGGAGGUGUACUGGCUGAAGAGGAGGCCCAAGGGAAGAGAACGUUGCCCUCAUUGGUCUGGAAUCAGCAGGUACCUCAUGGCUGGAGGUGUAUUUUCAGACUCCUUUGGCAUCUGGUGAGGCCUGUGGAUUCAUUCUCAGAAUCACAUUUUUAAAUGCACAUAAUAAAAUACAUAGAAUUGCAAAGGAAGUUAAUUAUAUUGAAAUACAGUUAUCAAAAAUAUAAAUAAAACAAGUAUGUGGUACAGUCAUAUGUGUGCUUCUUUAUUAAGUCAUUACAAAGCAAGAUCUAUUUGGAGGUCUAAUAACUGUCAUAUGCUUGAAAAAAUCCUUAACAAUCAUAAUAUAUUAAAAAAUCUGAUUUCUACUUUGGCAAAUCAUAGAUAUUGCUGAAACUGUGGUUUAUUGCCUGCAUUCAUAAUUGAAGGAAAUGCUAGAGUUCAGUGAGAAGGUUGUGAAAAUAAAGAGAGCCUUUUUUUCUCAUCAAG
rnacentral:lncRNA from 1 species